AUUCUGGUUGAUCCUGCCAGAGACUACCGCUAUCGGAGUCCGAUUGAGCCAUGCUAGUCCACCGGCCUUUGGCCGGGGCGGAUAGCUGAGUAACACGUGGCCAACCUGCCCUAUGGACGAGGAUAACCUCGGGAAACUGAGGCUAACCCUCGAUAGUAGAGAGUUACUGGAAAUGUUCUCUCUGCGAAAUGUUCCGACGCCAUAGGAUGGGGCCGCGGCUGAUUAGGUCGUUGGUGAGGUAACGGCUCACCAAGCCGAUAAUCAGUAGCAGCCGUGAGAGCGGGAGCUGUCAGUCGGCUUCUGAGACAAGAAGCCGGGCCCUACGGGGUGCAGCAGGCACGAAACCUUCACAAUGCACGCAAGUGCGAUGGGGGGACUCCGAGUGUGGUCUUCCCACAAGGAAGGCCACUUUUCUGCACUGUAAGGAGGUGCCGGAACAAGGGGUGGGCAAUACUGCUGCCAGCCGCCGCGGUAAUAGCAGAACCCCGAGUGGUAGUCGUUAUUAUUGGGCUUAAAGUGUUCGUAGCCGGCCGUGUAAGUCCGCUGUGAAAUCCAGGCGCUUAACGUCUGGGCGUGCAGCGGAUACUGCACUGGCUUGGGACCGGACGGUGUCGAGGCUAUUCCAAGAGUAGGGGUGAAAUCCUAAAAUUCCUGGAGGAGCGCCUGUGGCGGAAGCGCUCGACAAGUACGGAUCCGACGGUGAGGAACGAAAGCCAGGGGAGCAAAGCGGAUUAGAUACCCGCGUAGUCCUGGCCGUUAACAUUGCCUGUUUGAUGUCAGCCAACCUUCGGGGUUGGCUGGUGCCGAAGUGAAAACGUUAAACAGGCCGCCUGGGUAGUACGGUCGCAAGGCUGAAACUUAAAGGAAUUGACGGGGGAGCACCACAACCGGUGGAGGCUGCGGUUUAAUUAGAUCAAACGCAGCGCACCCUACCAGAGCCGACAGCAGAAUGACGGUCAGCUUGAAGAGCUUACCUGACGCGCUGAGAGGAG
rnacentral:rRNA from 1 species